rnacentral:rRNA from 1 species
AACGAACGCUGGCGGCAUGCCUAACACAUGCAAGUCGAACGAGAUCUUCGGGUCUAGUGGCGCACGGGUGCGUAACGCGUGGGAAUCUGCCCUUUGGUUCGGAAUAACAGUUGGAAACGACUGCUAAUACCGGAUGAUGACGAAAGUCCAAAGAUUUAUCGCCAGAGGAUGAGCCCGCGUAGGAUUAGCUAGUUGGUGUGGUAAAGGCGCACCAAGGCGACGGUCCUUAGCUGGUCUGAGAGGAUGAUCAGCCACACUGGGACUGAGACACGGCCCAGACUCCUACGGGAGGCAGCAGUGGGGAAUAUUGGACAAUGGGCGAAGGCCUGAUCCAGCAAUGCCGCGUGAGUGAUGAAGGCCUUAGGGUUGUAAAGCUCUUUUACCCGGGAUGAUAAUGACAGUACCGGGAGAAUAAGCUCCGGCUAACUCCGUGCCAGCAGCCGCCGUAA